rfam:Triticum aestivum genome assembly, contig: Triticum_aestivum_CS42_TGACv1_scaffold_642085_T_1BL-0.175631_2BL-0.154615
AUAAUACUCCCUCCGUCCGGAAUUACUUGUCAUCAAAAUGGAUGUGUCUAGAACUAAAAUAUAUCUAGAUACAUCCAUUUCAAUGACAAGUAUUUUCGGACGGAGGGAGUAGUAG